GAUGAACGCUGGCGGCGUGCCUAAUACAUGCAAGUCGAGCGAACAGACGAGGAGCUUGCUCCUCUGACGUUAGCGGCGGACGGGUGAGUAACACGUGGAUAACCUACCUAUAAGACUGGGAUAACUUCGGGAAACCGGAGCUAAUACCGGAUAAUAUAUUGAACCGCAUGGUUCAAUAGAGAAAGACGGUUUUGCUGUCACUUAUAGAUGGAUCCGCGCCGCAUUAGCUAGUUGGUAAGGUAACGGCUUACCAAGGCAACGAUGCGUAGCCGACCUGAGAGGGUGCUCGGCCACACUGGAACUGAGACACGGUCCCGACUCCUACGGGAGGCAGCCGUAGGGAAUCUUCCGCCAUGGGCGAAAGCCUGACGGAGCAACGCCGCGUGAGUGAUUAAGGUCUUCGGAUCCUAAAACUCUGUUAUUAGGGAAGAACAAAUGUGUAAGUAACUAUGCACGUCUUGACGGUACCUAAUCAGAAAGCCACGGCUAACUACGUG
rnacentral:rRNA from 1 species